rnacentral:tRNA from 1 species
GCGCCAGUAGCUCAGGGCCAGAGCGCCGGUCUUGUAAACCGGACGUCGGGGGUUUGAGUCCCCCCUGCUGCU